UAGGGAAUAUUGCGCAAUGGGCGAAAGCCUGACGCAGCAACGCCGCGUGGAGGAUGACACUUUUCGGAGCGUAAACUCCUUUUGUUGGGAAAGAAUUAUGACGGUACCCAACGAAUAAGCACCGGCUAACUCCGUGCCAGCAGCCGCGGUAAUACGGAGGGUGCAAGCGUUACUCGGAAUCACUGGGCGUAAAGGGCGCGUAGGCGGAUGGAUAAGUCUUUUGUGAAAUCUAACGGCUUAACCGUUAAACUGCUUAAGAAACUAUCUAUCUAGAGUAGGGGAGAGGCAGAUGGAAUUCUUGGUGUAGGGGUAAAAUCCGUAGAUAUUAAGAAGAAUACCCAUUGCGAAAGCGAUCUGCUGGAACUUAACUGACGCUAAUGCGCGAAAGCGUGGGGAGCAAACAGG
rnacentral:rRNA from 1 species